UCCGGUUUGGCACCGGCAGUCUCCCUAGAGUUCCCGGCAUCACCCGCUUUAACUAGCAUGUCAAGCCUAGGUAAGGUUCUUCGCGUUGCAUCGAAUUAAGCCACAUGCUCCGCCGCUUGUGCGGGCCCCCGUCAAUUCCUUUGAGUUUUAGCCUUGCGGCCGUACUCCCCAGGCGGGGUGCUUAAUGCGUUAGCUUCGGCACGGAACGGGUUGAAGACCGCCCCACACCUAGCACCCAACGUUUACGGCUGGGACUAC
rnacentral:misc_RNA from 1 species